GCACUAUAAAAUGGAAAGGAAUUACACGAGUGUACUGUAUCUCCUCCCAUUUGAACUUUGGAAACUCUCUGCUGUAGUAAAGCGUUCCCAACAUGUGUAGUCAUUCUUUCUGUUCUACACCACAACCACCUCUCAAACUGUGCUCUUCAGACUACAGGAGCGAUGCUGCUGUUGUGGAUAGCAUUAUCUCUCACCUGGCCUGGCACAAUUGGCUUUACGAUCCAUAGCAUGAAGGAAGGUCUGUGUCUCGAGGACUCGUCUGAAGGAGCUGUUGAGUUAAAGACAUGCAGUCUGGACUCAGUCCUGCAGCAGUGGAAGUGGACAGAUCACUGGCUCCUAGUAAACACAGGGACCCUGAGGUGUCUUUCUGCCAUCCGCACCGAACCAGUCCAGACUAUCACUUGUGAUUCUAGUGAACAUAUCAAAUGGCAGUGCAAAGCUCAACAGCUCAUCAGCCUGCAAAACUCUCUGGCAUUGAGCACAGAGAAAGGAAAACUCAGACUGAACACGGGUGAACCCGACACAUGGAAAUCUCUGGAUGCGGGCGACAUCUGCCAGAAUAAACAGAGGUCCAGAAGAGAAAGCUAUUUAGAGGCCGAUGAGUUUGACUUUGCUGAAGGGCCGCCUGCACCGAGAAUGACAGAGGCACAGAUGAAGUUUUUACAGUGGUAUUACCGCACAGAGGACCCAACAACAUGGAAGUUUGGCAUGCUGGCAUUUGCUUUUCUGGGUCUUCUGAUUGGCGCUAUGCUGAUGGUCAUGGGCAUGAUGGCUAAUAGGAAUAGAAAACAAAUAGCCAAAUACAAAGCAGCCUCUAAAGUCACAGCGGUGAAAGAUGAAAGGGAGGAGUUGCAGGUCAUGGUCACUGAUAAGGUCACAGAGGUCAAGGAGGAGAAAACCCAUUUCACCCCAUCCGAAAACAACAGCCAUAGGGAUUGGGAAGAGCCUUCAGAGGAACUGAAGCCCGGAGAAAUUGUGGUGACCUGGAAGGACGGGAAUGUGUCUACUUUGUAUCCCGAACCUGCAGAGGAAGGACAAGGGGAAGAGGACGUCCACAACACACAUGUGGAGACUCUGUCCCACACCUCCCCCCAAGCAAUAGUUUCAUCUGAGACAAUUGCAUUUUAA
ensembl:lncRNA